CGCGUAGGUGGUUUUAUAAGUCAGGCGUGAAAGCCCCGGGCUCAACCUGGGAAAGUCGUUUGAUACUGUAAGACUAGAGGACGGAAGAGGGAAGUGGAAUUCCUAGUGUAGAGGUGAAAUUCGUAGAUAUUAGGAGGAACACCAGAGGCGAAGGCGACUUUCUGGUCCGUUACUGACACUGAGGCGCGAGAGCGUGGGGAGCAAACA
rnacentral:rRNA from 1 species